rnacentral:rRNA from 1 species
AACGAACGCUGGCGGCAUGCCUAAUACAUGCAAGUCGAACGAGAUCUUCGGAUCUAGUGGCGCACGGGUGCGUAACGCGUGGGAAUCUGCCCUUGGGUUCGGAAUAACUUCUGGAAACGGAAGCUAAUACCGGAUGAUGACGUAAGUCCAAAGAUUUAUCGCCCAAGGAUGAGCCCGCGUAGGAUUAGGUAGUUGGUGAGGUAAAGGCUCACCAAGCCGACGAUCCUUAGCUGGUCUGAGAGGAUGAUCAGCCACACUGGGACUGAGACACGGCCCAGACUCCUACGGGAGGCAGCAGUAGGGAAUAUUGGACCAUGGGCGAAAGCCUGAUCCAGCAAUGCCGCGUGAGUGAUGAAGGCCUUAGGGUUGUAAAGCUCUUUUACCCGGGAUGAUAAUGACAGUACCGGGAGAAUAAGCUCCGGCUAACUCCGUG